rnacentral:rRNA from 1 species
UACGUAGGGGGCAAGCGUUGUCCGGAAUCAUUGGGCGUAAAGCGCGUGUAGGCGGCCCGGUAAGUCCGCUGUAAAAGUCCAGGGCUCAACCCUGGAAAGCCGGUGGAUACUGUCGGGCUCGAGUCCGGAAGAGGCGAGUGGAAUUCCUGGUGUAGCGGUGAAAUGCGCAGAUAUCAUGAGGAACACCGAUGGCGAAGGCAGCUCGCUGGGACGGUACUGACGCUGAGACGCGAAAGCGUGGGGAGCAAACAGG